rnacentral:rRNA from 1 species
AAUACCGGAUACUCCAUAUUGUCGCAUGGGCGAAUAUGGGAAAAGCUCCGGCGGCAAAGGAUGGGCCCGCGGCCUGUUAGCUAGUUGGUGGGGUAGUGGCCUACCCAAGGCAAUGAUGGGUAGCCGGUUGAGAGACCGACCGGCCAGAUUGGGACUGAGACACGGCCCAGACUCCUACGGGAGGCAGCAGUGGGGAAUCUUGCACAAUGGGCGAAAGCCUGAUGCAGCGACGCCGCGUGCGGGAUGAAGGCCUUCGGGUUGUAAACCGCUUUCAGCAGGGACGAGGCCGCAAGGUGACGGUACCUGCAGAAGAAGCCCCGGCUAACUACGUGCCAGCAGCCGCGGUAAU